AAUAUUGGACAAUGGGGGCAACCCUGAUCCAGCCAUGCCGCGUGUGUGAAGAAGGUCUUCGUAUUUUAAAGCUCUUUAUGUUGGUAGGAAGGGGUUGAAGCUAUUACCUUCAAUCUUUGACGUUACCAACAGAAUAAGCAUCGGCUACCUCUGUGCCAGCUGCCGCGGUAAUACAGAGGGUGCAAGCGUUAAUCGGAAUUUCUGGGCAUAAAGCGCGCGUAGGUGGUUCAGUAAGUUGGAAGUGAAAGCCCCGGGCUUAACCUGGGAAAUGCUUUCAAAACUGACGAGCUAGAGUACGGUAGAGGGUAGUGGAAUUUCCUGUGUAGCGGUGAAAUGCGUAGAUAUAGGAAGGAACAUCAGUGGCGAAGGCGACUACCUGGACUGAUACUGACACUGAGGUGCGAAAGCGUGGGGAGCAAACAG
rnacentral:rRNA from 1 species